rnacentral:rRNA from 1 species
UACGGAGGGUGCGAGCGUUGUCCGGAUUUAUUGGGCGUAAAGAGCGUGUAGGCGGCCAUUCAGGUCAGCUGUGAAAACUCGAGGCUCAACCUCGAGACGUCGGUUGAAACCGUUUGGCUAGAGUCCGGAAGAGGAGAGUGGAAUUCCCGGUGUAGCGGUGAAAUGCGCAGAUAUCGGGAAGAACACCCGUGGCGAAGGCGGCUCUCUGGGACGGUACUGACGCUGAGACGCGAAAGCGUGGGGAGCGAACAGG